CUCCAAGAACUUCCCACCUUUCUCUUGGAGAGACUCGAACUCACAACCUCUCGGUUGGAAGUGGGGUUGCUUACCAUCAGAGCAACCCCUCUUGCCAAGACCAUUAUCAACUUAAAUCAACAACUUCCCAAGAUGAUUCACAUGCUCCCUGACCAACCCUUCGUCAUUGCCAACCAUUCCAACAAUCUGUGCGUUGUCAUAUACUUGUAGAGGAUUACAUGUGAUACUUGGGGUAUUACUGCCUUAGACCAUAAUUAUUCCUUCUUGAAUCAUUCUCUCUAUCUCCCUUUUCAAAGCACGAAAAUCUUCAGCAUUGUGCCCCUGGGCAUUGAAAUGGUAUUCACACCUUUUAGCAAGGCCAACAGAGAUGACUUAAAUCAGUUUGUGGAAAUUCCACAUAGAAAUAGAAGAAAAACAAAUAAAAUUAAUGAAUAAAGAAAGAGCUCAACAUUCAAUACAUAUUCACAGGGAAAGUCUCGCUCAUUUCCUUGUGGCAACAGAAAACCAUGAGUUUAACAAACUUAACCACUUCCCAAAAAUUAAUCAUUCAAUGAACUGAACAAUCAAACUCAUAUGGAAUAAUAAGAGAAAUUCAAUCCAUUUUUCACAUAUUACCCACAUCAAAGUCAUUUAUUCACAUGCUUAAGAAUUGAUUGGAGAAUAUAGUGGAAAAAAAACCUUAAUUGCAGAGAAGAAAACUGGAUCAAAGCAAAAGAAGACCGACGAAUCGCAGCUGUGAGCGAGAACCUCGAAUUGAUUUUGAACUUUUCGGGAAAAACUUGAAUCUAGACAAUGAGGAAGACCAAGUUGCUGUGUUUAUGGAGUUUGAAGGCUGAUUUCAUUUUUCACAGAAGGAGUCGCUUAUGUUGUUAAGGAGGUGAGGUUGAGGAUGACGUGUCUAGAGUGGAGGAGUUGGUUUCGCGACCAUCUUGGUGUUGAUUUUGGGUGGAGAAGGGGCAUCGAUUUGGACAGUUUGCAGCUGAUUUUCGCUGCUCUUUCUAACUAUUUUCACAACUUGUUUAGAUGCCACUUUAAUGUGAAUUUUGAGGUAUUUUAUAGGGUGUUUUGGCGUGUUCUAAGAGCUAGUUUGUGAGAAGAAGUAGGAUGGGUUGAAGAAGAAGAGCAAUUGAGAGGCUAUUCUCUUUAGCUAUCAAGUUUUGUGCUGCUUCGUUUCUUUUUUUUUUUUAGCUACUAGGUCUCUCAUUUUCUUUUGAUCCCUUUUCUCCUGAUCUUUCUGCUUUUCGUUUCUUUCCGUCUCCCGCCGCUCUCAUCCUCACCCUCCCCAAAUAUGUUUUUUUGUUCUCCUUUUAACCUGUCUAUUUUUCCCUUUUUGUUGUUUUUUCUGCCAAGCCCCUUUUCUGUUCCACCCUGUCUUUUGUUCCCCCAUGCCCUCUAUAUAUUAGCAUGUGUGACUUUUGUGUGUAUUUAUCAAUUUAUUAGGAAGAAAGUUAAGAGAAAAAAUCUACCCAAAAUCCC
rnacentral:lncRNA from 1 species